UACGUAGGUGGCAAGCGUUGUCCGGAAUUAUUGGCGUAAGCGCGCGCAGGCGGCACUCUAAGUACGCUGUGAAUAUCCGGCUCAACCGGAGGUGCAGUGUAGACUAGGAGCUAGAGUCGGUAGAGGGGUGAAUUGCUGGUGUAGCGUGAAUGCGUAGAGAUCAGCAGACACCGUGCGAAGCGCCCUGGCCGUACCUGACGCUGAGCGCGAAGCUAGAGCG
rnacentral:rRNA from 1 species